GAUUUCUGCUUUCGAUUUACAGUCAUCGUCAGAUUCCGCUUCCGAUAGUUGGUGAUAGUCCAGUUAGUUUUUGCCAAAUAUCAAGGUUUGUUUUAUGACUCAGUUCGCAAAAAUUGUUUGAGACUUUCCGGAAAUAACGUGGAUAUAUUGCUAUACGUUUAUAUUAAUUGCCAUUGCAUUUUACAAUUUUAUUAGUAUCUUUUUAUUUUCAUUGGAGCAGACAAGUGAUAGAAUUACGUAAUUGUUGAAGAUGAGCUUUCAAUGGACCGUUGUAGCAACGUUCUUGUACGUUGAAAUAGCUACGGUGAUCUUGUUGAUGAUACCAGGCAUUUCGUCAGCUGCAUGGCAAAAGCUAUUUCGAUCGAGACUGUUUAAAUUUGUCAAAAAUUACGUGAAUUUGUAUUUUUACGUAUUUGUCGCACUUUUAGCUUUGUUAUUUGCUGAUGGCGUAAGAGACGUUCGUAAAUACAGAGGUGAAGAGGAUGUGAAAGCAAGACCAGAUGCAGAAAUUCAUCAGCAUAUGAAAUUAUUUCGCGCUCAGAGAAAUCUCUAUAUUGCUGGAUUUGCUCUUUUCCUGUGUUUGGUAAUUAGGCGAAUCGUAAGCUUGAUCUCUAAUCAGGCUAAUCUAGAAGCUAAAUGUUCUGCUGCUCUCAAACAAGCUGAAAGUGCUUCGGCAACUGCUAAGCAAUUUAUGAAGACAGCAGAAAAAGGAGCUCAUAAAAAUGCCAUUGACGAGACGAUGCUGGAGGAGCUAGACGACGUGAAAAAAGAGUUAGCUAAGAAAAACGAAGAAUUACGAAAGAUUAAAGUGGAUUUUGACGCUUUAAAAUCUCAGGCGGAGAACGCUAACAUAGAAUAUGAUAGAGUUUUGAGUGAACUCCAAAAUUCUCAAAACAAAGGAAGUGAAGGAGCCAGCAAGAAAGAUGAUUAAAUAACAAAAUCCAAUACUAUAUUUAAUUACUGUCAAUUCUAUCUUUUAAAUGGUUUGGAUAUAUUUUUUGGCAUCUCUCGAAAUACUGUGUGAUUAAAUAAUUCAUUAAAUUAAAACACUAUAUGCUAUUGUACUAUGUCUGCAUAUUUCAUAGGAGAGUAAAAUUAAUGUUCAAUCCACUAGUUUAAUGAAAUAUUGUCAGUUUUACUCAAAAAUCUUAAUAUUAUUUAAUAUUAUAAAUGAUGGCUAAAAUUUACAGAAAAAAAGAGGAACAGGCUUCAAUUAAUAAAAAUUUUUCACUUUGAUUUUAAAAGAGAUAUUUAGAAAUAUUUUUAUAAUUUCUUGAAUAAAAUCUUUCUGAAGAUAAUUCAAUUUUUUAUUUAUUAUCUUUCGAACUGAUAAAAUUUGUUUUGAAUUUUUUGUUGAACUUGAAAGAAA
rnacentral:misc_RNA from 1 species